GUGAAGAAGUAUUUCGGUAUGUAAAGCUCUAUCAGCAGGGAAGAAAAUGACGGUACCUGAGUAAGAAGCCCCGGCUAACUACGUGCCAGCAGCCGCGGUAAUACGUAGGGGGCAAGCGUUAUCCGGAUUUACUGGGUGUAAAGGGAGCGCAGACGGCGCAGCAAGUCUGAAGUGAAAGCCCGGGGCUUAACUCCGGGACUGCUUUGGAAACUGCUGUGCUUGAGUAUCGGAGGGGCAGGCGGAAUUCCCAGUGUAGCGGUGAAAUGCGUAGAUAUUGGGAAGAACACCGGUGGCGAAGGCGGCCUGCUGGACGAUAACUGACGUUGAGGCUCGAAGGCGUGGGGAGCAAACAGGAUUAGAUACCCUGGUAGUCCACGCGGUAAACGAUGAAUACUAGGUGUUGG
rnacentral:rRNA from 1 species